rnacentral:rRNA from 1 species
UCUGGCUCAGGACGAACGCUGGCGGCGUGCCUAAUACAUGCAAGUCGAACGAACUCUGGUAUUGAUUGGUGCUUGCAUCAUGAUUUACAUUUGAGUGAGUGGCGAACUGGUGAGUAACACGUGGGAAACCUGCCCAGAAGCGGGGGAUAACACCUGGAAACAGAUGCUAAUACCGCAUAACAACUUGGACCGCAUGGUCCGAGYUUGAAAGAUGGCUUCGGCUAUCACUUUUGGAUGGUCCCGCGGCGUAUUAGCUAGAUGGUGGGGUAACGGCUCACCAUGGCAAUGAUACGUAGCCGACCUGAGAGGGUAAUCGGCCACAUUGGGACUGAGACACGGCCCAAACUCCUACGGGAGGCAGCAGUAGGGAAUCUUCCACAAUGGACGAAAGUCUGAUGGAGCAACSCCGCGUGAGUGAAGAAGGGUUUCGGCUCGUAAAACUCUGUUGUUAAAGAAGAACAUAUCUGAGAGUAACUGUUCAGGUAUUGACGGUAUUUAACCAGAAAGCCACGGCUAACUACGUGCCAGCAGCCGCGGUAAUACGUAGGUGGCAAGCGUUGUCCGGAUUUAUUGGGCGUAAAGCGAGCGCAGGCGGUUUUUUAAGUCUGAUGUGAAAGCCUUCGGCUCAACCGAAGAAGUGCAUCGGAAACUGGGAAACUUGAGUGCAGAAGAGGACAGUGGAACUCCAUGUGUAGCGGUGAAAUGCGUAGAUAUAUGGAAGAACACCAGUGGCGAAGGCGGCUGUCUGGUCUGUAACUGACGCUGAGGCUCGAAAGUAUGGGUAGCAAACAGGAUUAGAUACCCUGGUAGUCCAUACCGUAAACGAUGAAUGCUAAGUGUUGGAGGGUUUCCGCCCUUCAGUGCUGCAGCUAACGCAUUAAGCAUUCCGCCUGGGGAGUACGGCCGCAAGGCUGAAACUCAAAGGAAUUGACGGGGGCCCGCACAAGCGGUGGAGCAUGUGGUUUAAUUCGAAGCUACGCGAAGAACCUUACCAGGUCUUGACAUACUAUGCAAAUCUAAGAGAUUAGACGUUCCCUUCGGGGACAUGGAUACAGGUGGUGCAUGGUUGUCGUCAGCUCGUGUCGUGAGAUGUUGGGUUAAGUCCCGCAACGAGCGCAACCCUUAUUAUCAGUUGCCAGCAUUAAGUUGGGCACUCUGGUGAGACUGCCGGUGACAAACCGGAGGAAGGUGGGGAUGACGUCAAAUCAUCAUGCCCCUUAUGACCUGGGCUACACACGUGCUACAAUGGAUGGUACAACGAGUUGCGAACUCGCGAGAGUAAGCUAAUCUCUUAAAGCCAUUCUCAGUUCGGAUUGUAGGCUGCAACUCGCCUACAUGAAGUCGGAAUCGCUAGUAAUCGCGGAUCAGCAUGCCGCGGUGAAUACGUUCCCGGGCCUUGUACACACCGCCCGUCACACCAUGAGAGUUUGUAACACCCAAAGUCGGUGGGGUAACCUUUUAGGAAC